rnacentral:rRNA from 1 species
CCAUAAACCGUGGCUCAGUUCAGAUCGUAGGCUGCAACUCGCCUACGUGAAGUAGGAAUCGCUAGUAAUCGCAGGUCAGCAUACUGCGGUGAAUACGUUCCCGGGCCUUGUACACACCGCCCGUCACACCAUGGAAGUUGGCCACGCCCGAAGUCGUUACUUUAACCCUUGUGGAGAAGGACGCCGAAGGUGGGGCUGAUGACUGGGGUGAAGUCGUAACAAGGUAGCCGUACCGGAAGGUGCGGCUGGAUCACCUCCUAA